rnacentral:tRNA from 1 species
GGAGAGAUGGCUCAGUGGUUAAGAGCACUGCUCUUCCAGAGGUCCUGAGUUCAAUUCUCAGCCA